rnacentral:piRNA from 1 species
UGGAUAUUAGCGCUUUGUCAGAUGUAGGA